AACAGCAGAUAUUUGUCAUGCAUUAAUUUCAUUGCAUAGUUGCCAGCAAAAGGCGCACAGAAAUAAAGAAACCUUAAUUUCUCAUUAUUAGAAUUUUCCUUCUACUCAAUUCAACCUAAUACAAAUACUUGUCUCAGCUUCAACAAUGUUUUCAUUUUCACCUUGGUAAAGCCCAAAGAACAUAAAUUCCAUGUUUUAUCUUUCCUUUCCAAAUAAUCUUUGCUAUCAAAAGGAGAUUAUCCUUACAUUUCAUAAAUUAAAAACCAAGAAUAUGAACCACAAACAAAUCACACUAUGAUAAAAUACAAAAAAU
rnacentral:misc_RNA from 1 species